rnacentral:lncRNA from 1 species
GCAGCGCUGCGCGGAGCUGGCUCUGUCCACGUAGCGGGUGCUGAACGCCCCAUUCUGGCCCCUGGGUGCUCGCUUAGUCCCGGCCACGCGUGGCUGCUCGCCCUCGGGACACACUGGGCGCUGGGAAGGCCGGGCGGGGAGCGCGCACCGGAGAAACCGCUGUGGGAAUCCCGGCCACAUUUCCAGGCCCCUUGGGCCGUCCCACGCCAGACAAGAAAGCCCUGACUCCGAAACCCUGGGCGAGUGUGGAGGGCGCGCGGGGGUGGGGUGUACCCGCCCACGCAAACUGCUGCUGAUCUCCCUUAAAGCCGAGUUAGAGGCUUGGGGCGAGACAGGAGUGACGGGCGAUGCUGUCACUCCAUCUGUCAUUCUACCCAGCCUGCAGCAGCUGAAUUCGAACCCAGAGACUUCAGGCCUUUGCGUUGUUACCGCAGUCCGCAUUUCAAAGCCAGAGUUUGGCCACUGAGUCACCAUGACCUCGAGUACUGGCGGGGCCCGAGCCAGCAGAGCUAGCCACAGGAGGGAGCCUCCCAGGUGGUCGACCGGAGCCAGGUGCUGCCAGGCACCCGACUGCAGAGCUUGCCCUCCAGGUGAUCUCGCAGUAUCGGUGUUCACAAGCCCUGUAAGGCACUCGGGGUAUCCUGAAGGCUACAGAUUCUGCAAGGGCAGAGACUUUAAGGAACAGCCAUAGUCCUUCUCCAGCUCAAAAUCUGGACCAUGGGCACAAGGUAAACAACACACUGGUGUCAACAAAGGAAUCUGCUAUUUAUGUGGAUUUUUACUUUAGACAAACUAAAGUAUCUAUGUUGUUCUGUGUGUUGAACACAGAG